rnacentral:rRNA from 1 species
AUUGAACGCUGGCGGCAGGCCUAACACAUGCAAGUCGAACGGUAACAGGAAGCAGCUUGCUGCUUCGCUGACGAGUGGCGGACGGGUGAGUAAUGUCUGGGAAACUGCCUGAUGGAGGGGGAUAACUACUGGAAACGGUAGCUAAUACCGCAUAACGUCGCAAGACCAAAGAGGGGGACCUUAGGGCCUCUUGCCAUCGGAUGUGCCCAGAUGGGAUUAGCUAGUAGGUGGGGGAACGGCUCACCUAGGCGACGAUCCCUAGCUGGUCUGAGAGGAUGACCAGCCACACUGGAACUGAGACACGGUCCAGACUCCUACGGGAGGCAGCAGUGGGGAAUAUUGCACAAUGGGCGCAAGCCUGAUGCAGCCAUGCCGCGUGUAUGAAGAAGGCCUUCGGGUUGUAAAGUACUUUCAGCGGGGAGGAAGGGAGUAAAGUUAAUACCUUUGCUCAUUGACGUUACCCGCAGAAGAAGCGCCGGCUAACUCCGUG